rnacentral:lncRNA from 1 species
AGCUGUAUCAGAGCAAAGAUGACGGCCCCUUUUGCGCGCUCCGUGGCCAGCUAGUACCGAGAGGCUUUGUCCUCUUUGGCGACCAGCCCUAUAGCCGGGGCACCUCCAUCCUUUCCCCACCCUGGGGACAGCUCUAGGGGCUCGUGAACCUCACUUCACCACGUGUUCUAACUGCCUCCUGGCUUCGAUGAGCGACGCCAGCAACAGUCCAAGUGAGCAAGACAAAUCGUGCCCUUUGUGUGGUAACAAAAUCUGGUGACCAUGAAGGGACAAUAAGUUCUGCUCAUGGCCAGUCGACCUCAGAUGAGUGACCUGUUGGUGCUAUGUCCUGAGAGCUUGGCUUGGUGACGUCUCUGGUCACAAGGGGUCCCAGUCCAUCGGGGGCCUGUGUCGUCUCAACCUUUGUUGCCUGUCAGUGCACUACCACCUGUGCAGCAGAAGCCUUUGCUUCCUUGGAUUAUUUUUGGGAGUGAAGUUUCUAGAUCUUGUGAGGUCUGCUUCUUUUGCACUCUCUUGUGAAGAUGCCUCUUGCAUCCAAGAUAUGUUUCGUAUUCAGAGAAAUUCGUGGAAAGGACUCUGACACUCUGGAAUACAGGUUUCUGACCCACUUCAGAUCGUAAAACUGAAGUGGGUAAGAAAUUAUAGAACUCUAAUAGAGAAACUGAUGAGCUCAUGAAACUGCUGACAGAAGAUUAAGAUCAAGAAUCAAUUACACAGGACUGUGGAACUGAUGAGCAGGAUUAUAAUUUUUAUGAUUUUUGUUUAAAAUCUUGUUGAUUUUUUAAUGUUUUGUUUUGUUUUCCCAGAUUUUAGGAAAUCUUUUUUUUUUCUCUUAUGCUAACUAUGACUUAUAGCAAUUUGGUGAAAUUAUACCUUUGUGAGCAGAAUUGAAACAUUUAUCUUUUUCUCCCUACCUGAUCCCUCCAGAAUUUGGAAACUCUUAGUGAGUGAGUGAGUAUGGUUAUUUUCAUGGCAAUAUAGUUAUUUGCAUAAGUUCAGUAAGAAUCUGUUCCCCUUAUAACAGGACACAUUUGGAAACAUUGAUUAUAUAACCAAGGCUUUGACUAGAAUGCCAUAUUUGAGAGACACAUAUAGACUCAGAUAUGACAAGACAGCUUUUGAGGAAUAAAUGUUGACUUCUUGGAAUAAAGCCACUUGGAAAUAUUGGCCUGAUAACUUGUUUACAAGGAUUCCAGCAACCUGGGUAAGUAAGGAAGGUCACUUAUCUGGCAGGUACCUGGAACCUUGAAAUACUUUGGGGAACCUCAAGGCAAGAGAGGAAUUCACUCAAAUCUAAAGUGUUGCAGGCGGAGCCUGAUGACAAAUCCUUGGCUUGGAUUUUCUGGCCUCAAGAAGCUUUUAAAGUUCAACCUGAGAUUCCUUAUAAAAAGUUCCAGCAAAGCAGAUUUUAAAAAGCAUAUAUGAUCAAUGGCUAUUCUUGCUGUACUUAUGUAAAUAAUUGAAUUAAGUUUUAUUGAAACUAGGCUUAUUUUGCAAACUAAUGAGUCUUAAUUGGCUAUCUUUGGUAAAAAGGGGGUGAUUUUAGAGAGAAAAAUUAUAUUUCAGUAGGAGCUAUGGUACACAUUCGUGGAUAUUAGAUUCUAGUUCUGUUAAGUGCAUUUGAGGUUUUUGUUUGUAUCUGUUUACUGUACUGGAUCCUAAACUCUUCUAGUCUCUUGAAAUAUCUGGCUACAUAUCUCCAAACUAGCUAUUUCAAUAUUUUUUUCCAUCAUUUUCACUUGGAAUCAUUGAGAACUGAACCUGCCCUUUUCCUGCCAAGUCUUGCAAACUGAAGCUGGAGGACUUGAUAUAAACUUAAGAGGGAGAGAUUCAUAUCUGUUGCUGUGUAAGCCCCUCAGAAAGAUACCUGAACACCCAAUGACAUCAUCAGGGACAUCUAAAACUGCAAAAGAUGCUUUGACCCUGACAUCUAGAAAUCUUCUUGACUGGCUGCCCCUGGGCUCAGAACUGGUUUAUAAUUUGCUCCCACCAUUAGCCUUACUCUCCUUCUGUCUCUCUAGAAAUGCUUCUUAUUAAAUACCUGGUUACUUGCUUACCCAAUAUAGGCCUAACUUCAGGAACCCACCUGCAUCACCAUCUUACUAAGAGACUGGUUCAAUGAGAUGGAACAACCUAUGCUCCUCAACGACAGGAUGUCCCUCAAGAUUGAGGAAUGAAAAACAAAAAGGCAGAAUUGAAACCGACUCAACACAAGAUUGACAUAACGCAAGCCAUAUUGUAGAAAAGAGACCAUGUUGUAACUUUGAAUGACCUCUGACUGACUAACCCAGCUGGAUUUGCACCCUCCAGGAGAUCCACCUGUUCUGUGGAUUUUAUGACCUCUGCUAGUGCAUAUACCUGCCAUCUGCAAUAAGAUGAUAACUUCAUGCUUUUGAGUUCCUUAGGAAUGUGAUGACCCCCCAAACAGAGAGUCUAUGCUGAUAGCCAUCUUCAAUGAAAACUGAAAGAUCUGGUGUGGCAACUCCCAGUCUGCAACACCAGAGGGUCAACAUUCCUAACCCCUCCCCUAUAACCCACUGGCCUAUAUAACUGCUUCAAGAUUCUGUGUCCCUUUUAAGAUUGUUCUUUUGGACAUUAUUAGGCCAUCUUCCCUCUUGCUAGCAAGCUGUAAUAAAAUGCCCUUUCUCUGCCACCAUCUUGCCUCUUGACGAUUGGCUUUUGUCCUGUGGCGAGCAGAUUGGGCUCUUUGUGUGAUAACAGUUUGAUUACUCUAAGCCUUCUCCCAAUGUUCUUGGCUACUUGUCCUUCUUCCUUAGAGCAUUUGUCUUGUCUCUAAGCCCUUGCUUUAAACCUAUGCUGUCUCCUCAUGGUGUCACACAUGCACACAGAGGACAGAAACACUUUCUUAAUGGAGGAUUGGAACCAAAGUGUUUGAAGAGGCCCCUCAGCACCCCUGAGCAUGGAGGCCAGAGUGGUUUGUCCUUCACCGUCACCAUGUCUCAUUCUCCUAAAGAGCUGGCUCAAAAGGAAAUGCACAGAUGCCCAGACUAUUUGCUAAAGGAAAUGACACAUUAUCCUCUUCCGAACAUCUGGUAAUUCCUAAAAGACAGUCAGGCCCUGAUAAUACGGUUGGCUCACUAGAAGCCUGAGUCUUCUUUCCCAAGGGAGGUGGGGGCGAACCAAGGAGGACAGAGUCUAUUUUUGGUGUCAGCCCUAGGGGAUGCCUUGAGGAGGGGGAGAGGGGUCACCAGCACUGCUGUUCUGUUCUGUUCUGUGAGCCAGGAAUGCAUGCUUCCUUCCUGUCCAGCCCUGAGCAGCCGUCUCUUUCUUAAGUUUCAGAUCUUCCAUGGAGAGCUGAAAAGAUUUAAAAAUUCCAUCAUGGGCCGGAAUGGCUUGACAUGAGGGCAGGUGAACUAAUGACUUGGGGAAAUGAGAUUUGUCAGAACACUGGGUGUUGAAGUUACUGCAAAGGAAAGCAGAGCUGUGUCAGGUUGAGUGGCUAUCACAAGAUGGAAUAGUGACUCAGAGGACUCACUAGCAUCUGGCUGCCCCUUGGCUAGGAAAUGCACAUUUUUUUUAGCCCUAAGGCAUCCUCUGGAGGCAAAAUGCAACAUGUAGAAAGAAUAGGAGAGGUGUGCGUGGAGUGCCUCGCUUCCCCAGUUAAUUGAUUUUGCACAGGUGAGAAGAAGCAAGCCUUGAACUCAAUGGGAAAUCCCGGAGGUGGAUGCCUCAGGACUGACCCCCGUUGGUCAGCAUCUAGACCAAUGAAGCACCUUAAGUCGAGGACUGAGAGAAGCAAGUCUUGUUCUCAUUAAAUUAGCCCAGGACUGGGGAGUGGGUGGAGGGGGUUGGGGAGGGCACCUCUGCCUCAGGAUCUAAGGCCACUUGUUGUACCAGGUCUUUGUUUUGUCCCAGCCAGGGCACUCUGGGGAAAGCAUCCUGAGAAUUCGCCCUGCAAACAGAAAGGGCAUUUCCUUGUGUGGGUUUCCUGUUUAGGUCUGCGUAGAAACCCAAAGGAUCACUUGGCCUCAUAAAUCCUCUAGACAUUACUGAUGUAGAUGCUCUGGCUAGAUGCCAUGGGAAAAUUGCACAAAAAUAGAAGAAGAGAGGAAAGCGCAUUCCCUCUCAGGAUUCUGGGUGGGUUUCAGGCUUCAUGUUUUUGUAAAUAGAGGGGGUUGGGCUAGAGGAGAUGAUCUUAAGUUCCCUUCCAGCUUUGCUAUUCUCAGAUUCCGUUGCCCUCCCAAGGGUCACCCGGAGCUCCCGCUCUCCCGCUCAGUAAUGGGGGUCUGCUGAGCACCUCUCCAAACAGAAGCAGGAUGGAAGUUUCAGGCAAAAAAUCAGGAAGUUGCCUUAGAAUCUCUUUUAGGCUCCUUCACAGAAAAAAGGUACUGGUUGAACUCUGGUAAUUCCCAGACUUUCCUAAACAUUUAGUUUUUUCCAAAAAUGACAGAUACCAGAUUCAGGAGUAUUGCAGGAGGUUUGCGGCUGGGUUUUGGCAUAAAGCAAGUUCACAGAAUGGACUCAAAAGUGGUGGAUAAGAUGUGUGUUAGGAGAUAUCACGCAUUUCGGGAUUCUUUUUUACUUCCUGUUCCCCUCAAGUUUUGCAUGUGUCAAAUGGGCAUUCAAACCUGUUGGUUUAAUGGAAGAAGCCAUGUUUUCAUACUUAUUCUGUGACAGAUUCCCCUUGGAGUCUGACCAAACAUUAGGUUAGAUGAGAGCGAUGAGGUGAAGACAGGAUUUCUUGCCGAAGAUUCCUGUGAGGAUAUUCUCAUUGUCUUAAAUUAUACUUUUUGUGUUCUAUUUUCUCACUUGUCCUUGUUUGUAUCAUUUAAAAAAUUUCUCAUAUGGAACUGCCCUUUUUUGGAAAGGCAGUACUAAAAUGAUAUUGAGUAACAUUAAGUUAACCUCCUUAGACUGGCGGUUCAGUGCUCUAGUAAGCUGACUAGAUAUUCUACUUAAAUGUGGAUAGACCCAUUUAUACAGCAACAUUUCUCAAGGCAAGAUUGCUCUCUUCUCAGUUCUCUCAGGUAUGAAUUGUGAUGUUUGUCUAUAAAAGUCAUUCCCUAGAGGAUAUUCUUACAUCUUUGUAAAUAAUUCAGCAAAGGAAGAUUACUUCCAAGGUCCCCUUCUGUUAUUUCACUUCCAAAUUUUGCUGUUGUGUAUCUGAAAUACAUUCUCCUUUUCCCUUGCUGACUCUGAAGUGGUUCUUAACUAAAGAAGCGGGAGGAAGGUAAAACGAUAUGAAGUUCUAAGCUUUCUGGGUCAGCACUCCCCAGAACACUAGUCCCUGGAAAGGUGUUUUCGAAUGUGCUUUCUGUGUCAAAUGUGUUGGAAAAUGCUGCUGUCCUUGAGAAUCACACUGCACUCUAGGGUGUUAGAACUCUGAAAAUUCAGACAAUAAAGAAACGUGUUCAACUUUAACUCAGCACUUCUCAAACUUAUCUGAUCAAGAACAUCUCUUUUUAUAUGAUAUCUUUAGCAGCCGUUAACAGAUGGAGGAGUAAGUGUUACAUGGGAAACAUUUUGAGAAAUGUUCUUCUCAGCCAGAAGACAGAGUUCACUGUCUUUUAUUUAGCACCUGGGGAUAUAUAUAUAUAUGCUAUAUAUAUAUAUAAAUACUAUGUAUAUAUAUAUAUACUAUGUACAUAUAUGUACAUAUACAUACAUAUACUGUGUCUAUUUUUGUUUGCCCCAUAUCUUCAACAAUGAACAUGAAUUAUUUCUAUAUUUCAGCUGAAAAACAAAAUAAACUUUAUUUUUAAAAAAGAAUCAACAUUAAGUUUCUAUACUUUUCAUUCGUGCUUAAGUGGACACAUCCACCUGCCUGCGGAGAAGCCGUCGGUUGUUCCUCCCACUUCUAGUCAGUUAUCUUGGUUUGCUUGGGGUUCCAUAGCGCUUGUCUUCUAAGGUCCUCUGUGUCUGUCCUUGGAGUGCGGACAGCUCCUUCAGACUGAGGGUAAAGCAAUUCACACAUGGCGGAAUGGUCCACCUGGGACAAGGAAAUGGCCCAAUCAAGCCCUCCAUACUAACUUGUUACUGGAUCAUGUGUCCAUGGGAGGACGUUGGCAGACCAGUCGGAAUUCUUGGUUGCUACCAAGCAAAAUCUCUCCUAGUUGACUUGAGCGGAAAGUGAACUUAUUGGAAGAGUGUUGUGCAGCUCACAGAAUCAGUGGGAAGGCUAGAGAACCAGGUGAUGAAAAUGAAUAAAAAUUGAGGGAGGCAGGACACAGCCAAGAUCUUGCCAGAGGGAUAGUCCACUUAGGGUGCGCCGCUGCUGCUGUCACUGCUGGACACGUGUCAUAAUGCUGCUGGGCUCUGAUCAGGCAUUGGUUGCUAUGCUUGCGGGCACUCAAAUCCACCACAGCCACUGCAAAUGACUUCUGCCUCCCCACAGGCUUCAGGUCCUAGAUGACAUGAUGGGGUCUCUGAUGGGCUGAGCCCAAGUGAUGUGCUGGUUUCCUAGUUUCUGGGGCACAGAUAGAAACUCUCUGCCCUCUUUGGCUUCUAAAAUGUUGGGGUUGAGUCCAGAAACCAAAAGAUGAGGUCCAAGGAGAGAGAUGGUACUGCUGUGGCUGCUGACAAAUCCUUAGAUGCCAGACCCAGACCCAAAACUGGACUGUGUAGGAGAAAACUGGUGGGGGUGACCACUUCAGAGCCUGGAGUCUUAGGAGUGGAACUAGAAAUCAGUGAUUAAAAAAUGAGAAAAAUUCCUUGUUUUGGAACUAACUUGGCUAUGCUCACCUCAGAAUUGUCCAGCCACUUGAACAGCUUCCAUUGUUCACUGGGACCUUUUGAGGAUUGUCAAUCUAUUCACAGGGAAGCGGGUUCCAAGAUCAGAGUCUGUUUCCAAUGGGUCAUGAGUACAAAGAGCAUGCCUUUCAAUCUGUAAAUUACCUCCCCGGAAAAUCAGGAGAAAAGAAAUUGAAGAGUGGAAAGGAGGCCUGAGGCUACAGGAGUGCUUCCCUGGGAUUUCUUGAUUUGGAGCCUGAGGAAGAACAGCCUUGCCGCUGAGGCCAGGUGCUAAAGGGCUAUGAAGGUGAGAGCAAGAGCACAAACGAAUGCUACAUCUGGUUCUUCCAAAUAACAGAGAGACACAGGAAAACUGAAUGUGUUCUUGCCUCAGGUUCAGACUUGUUCAGUACAGCAAGCACUACAGUGCGUUUCCAUAUUGACUUUGGGAAAAACACAUUGCACUGUUUAUGAAGUUCUGUAGUCAAUCAGCAAACACAAAUCUAGCCCCUACUUGAGACUGCUAAUAAAGCAUAUUUAUUAUGUCCUCACUCCCAAACCCAGUGUAACAACUCUACAAACUAUAUACAUGAAUAACUACGGCCAGAGUUUAUUUCAUAAUAUAUUAAAAAUUCUAACUUGAAGAGGCAAUCAAUUCUACCAGCUCCAGAAGCUCCUUUCUGUUACCAUUACCAAUGGCUAAAACUAAUGGUUAGGCCACUAAAUAUCAUGUAGGGGAAAAAACCCUUUGUUUCCUCUUUAAAUUUUUGAGAAAGAACAAAUUGUGUUGAACAAACAUGAUAAUGAAAAUAUUAUAGCUUUGCUGGGUAUUGUUACAUUUUCAUUGUGUUGUAACCGCCUCUCAGGAUUAUGUUUUUCUAGCAUGGGGCAUUGUCUAUUUUUUUUUCUUCUUAUUCUCCCCAAAGCCCCCCAGUAUGUAGUUGUAUAUUCUAUCCGGGAGUGCCUCUGGCUAUGCUAUGUGGGAUGCUGCCUCAGUGUGGCCUGAUGAGUGG